rnacentral:rRNA from 1 species
CCCUUAGAUGUUCUGGGCCGCACGCGUGCUACACUGAGUGGAUCAGCGGGUCAGGUUGCGCGAAAGCGUUUCCUAAUCUUUAAAUCCGCUCGUGAUGGGGAUUGACGGUUGCAAUUUUCUGUCAUGAACGAGGAAUACCUUGUAAGCGCGGGUCAUCAUCCCGCGCUGAAUACGUCCCUGCCCUUUGUACACACCGCCCGUCGCUCCUACCGAUUGAGUGGGCCGGUGAGGCUUUGGGAUCUGAGCGGAAAGAGCGUUUCGCUGUUUCUGCUCGGAAAACUCAGUCGAACCUUAUCAUUUAGAGGAAGGAGAAGUCGUAACA